rnacentral:lncRNA from 1 species
CCUCCCUGGCGCCUGGAGCCGCGUCCAGCCCGCGGUCCCUUCGCCGGACCUGAGUGGCUUGCGGUCCUCCCCCACCCCCUGCUUGGGUCCCUGCGCCCCUAGUCCUAGCUCCCCUCUUUUGUAUCCCCCUUUAAUCCCCAUCCCCCCAUUCUAUCCAACUUCAGCCCCCGCGCUGCGCCCCCCUUUCCUGGUCCGGCUCGAUUGGCCGCUUCCUGAGCUGUCAGACUUGAGUUCGGCGCUCUUAUUGGGCGAUUCUCUGGCCGGGCGGCUGUGCCAAAGGAGGGCGCAGCGGGCUGGGGGCGCCUAGGCAGCGACUGCCGCAGGGAGACGAAGACCAGAGUCCCUGGAGGGCUGGAGGGGCCCGAGAGCCAGACCCGGAAAUGGACAGGGGAGAUGGAGAGACUGAGGAUCUCAGAGGCGCAGGAAGACAGUGACGGAAAAGAUGGAGAUGCAGUGGCUCUCUCUGCAGAGCUUCUGACAGAGGCUAGCAGUUGGGGAGAAAUUCCUACAAGUAGAACUGCUGAGCCAAAGGAUAAACAUUUUUUCGCCUAAGGUAUUUCUGAAAUCUGCAUCUCCAGCACCUGCCUCCCUUCCCAGUUCCAAGCUUACCCCCGUCCACUGGUAGGCUCCCCAUGGAUGCUCCUUGGUACCCACCAGCACCCCAGAUUCCAUUUGUCUAAAACUA